rnacentral:rRNA from 1 species
UACGUAGGGUGCAAGCGUUGUCCGGAAUUAUUGGGCGUAAAGAGCUCGUAGGCGGUCUGUCGCGUCGGCUGUGAAAACCCGGAGCUCAACUCCGGGCCUGCAGUCGAUACGGGCAAACUGGAGUGUUGCAGGGGAGACUGGAAUUCCUGGUGUAGCGGUGAAAUGCGCAGAUAUCAGGAGGAACACCGGUGGCGAAGGCGGGUCUCUGGGCCGUAACUGACGCUGAGGAGCGAAAGCAUGGGGAGCGAACAGG